rnacentral:misc_RNA from 1 species
GAAAUGCGAUAAGUAGUGUGAAUUGCAGAAUUCAGUGAAUCAUCGAAUCUUUGAACGCACAUUGCGCCUCCUGGUAUUCCGGGAGGCAUGCCUGUUCGAGCGUCAUUAAAAACCACUCGGGCCAUUUUCAUGGCUUGGUAUUGGGAGAGGAGUGCACUCGCUGCCCUCCCUCCCGAAAUCCAAUGGCGGAAAGCCCCACGUGCCCCGGCGUAGUAAGUCUUCUUUCGCUCGGAACGUUGGGCGAUCCUGCCGUGAACCCCCCCAAAUCAUUUACAGGUUGACCUCGGAUCAGGUAGGGAUACCCGCUGAACUUAA